rnacentral:rRNA from 1 species
UUGACCUCGGAUCAGGUAGGGAUACCCGCUGAACUUAAGCAUAUCAAUAAGCGGAGGAAAAGAAACCAACAGGGAUUGCCUCAGUAACGGCGAGUGAAGCGGCAACAGCUCAAAUUUGAAAUCUGGCCCCUUUGGGGCCCGAGUUGUAAUUUGUAGAGGGUGUUUCGGGCGCGGCGCCGGUCUAAGUUCCUUGGAACAGGACGUCAUAGAGGGUGAGAAUCCCGUAUGUGACUGGCGAUCAAGCCCAUGUGAAGCCC